UACGGAGGUGGCAAGCGUUGCUCGGAAUUACUGGGCGUAAAGCGUGCGCAGGCGGUGAUGUAAGACAGUUGUGAAAUCCCCGGGCUCAACCUGGGAACUGCAUCUGUGACUGCAUCGCUGGAGUGCGGCAGAGGGGGAUGGAAUUCCGCGUGUAGCAGCGAAAUGCGUAGAUAUGCGGAGGAACACCGAUGGCGAAGGCAAUCCCCUGGGCCUGCACUGACGCUCAUGCACGAAAGCGUGGGGAGCAAACAGG
rnacentral:rRNA from 1 species